rnacentral:rRNA from 1 species
UACGGAGGGUGCGAGCGUUGUCCGGAAUCACUGGGCGUAAAGGGCGCGUAGGUGGCCCGUUAAGUGGCUGGUGAAAUCCCGCGGCUCAACUGCGGGGCUGCCGGUCAUACUGGCGAGCUAGAGCACGGUAGGGGCAGAUGGAAUUCCCGGUGUAGCGGUGGAAUGCGUAGAGAUCGGGAAGAAUACCAGUGGCGAAGGCGUUCUGCUGGGCCGUUGCUGACGCUGAGGCGCGACAGCGUGGGGAGCAAACAGG